rnacentral:tRNA from 1 species
AGUUAUAAACUUAAAUAAAUAUAAGAUUAUGAUUUGAAAUCAUAAUAAAAGGGUUAAAUCCCUUAUUAACUU